AGUGAACGCUGGCGGUAGGCCUAACACAUGCAAGUCGAACGGCAGCACGGGAGAGCUUGCUCUCUGGGGGCGAGUGGCGGACGGGUGAGGAAUACAUCGGAAUCUACUCUGUCGUGGGGGAUAACGUAGGGAAACUUACGCUAAUACCGCAUACGACCUACGGGUGAAAGCAGGGGAUCUUCGGACCUUGCGCGAUUGAAUGAGCCGAUGUCGGAUUAGCUAGUUGGCGGGGUAAAGGCCCACCAAGGCGACGAUCCGUAGCUGGUCUGAGAGGAUGAUCAGCCAAACUGGAACUGAGACACGGUCCAGACUCCUACGGGAGGCAGCAGUGGGGAAUAUUGGACAAUGGGCGCAAGCCUGAUCCAGCCAUACCGCGUGGGUGAAGAAGGCCUUCGGGUUGUAAAGCCCUUUUGUUGGGAAAGAAAUCCAGCUGGCUAAUACCCGGUUGGGAUGACGGUACCCAAAGAAUAAGCACCGGCUAACUUCGUGCCAGCCGCCGCCGUAA
rnacentral:rRNA from 1 species